rnacentral:snoRNA from 1 species
UGUGCGUGUGUGUGUGUGUUCAAGUGGUAAAGUCAUGAAAGACAGGGACAAAAAUAAAUCCUCUUUUGCAGUCCGGAACUCAUUGUUUAGUAUGAGUUUCGAUACAAACAGGAAGGAAUAAA